GGCCCUUUGGUGUAAUGGUCAAACACUACUUGACUGAUGCUUCGUCGUUCUGUGCAGCGGCCUACUGUCCAGCUUAGAAGUUGCCGGUUCGAAUCUGGUACGGGCCA